rnacentral:rRNA from 1 species
UACAGAGGGGGCAAGCGUUGUUCGGAAUUACUGGGCGUAAAGGGCGCGUAGGCGGCCUUCUAAGUCGAACGUGAAAUCCCCGGGCUCAACCCGGGAACUGCGUCCGAUACUGGAUGGCUCGAGUUUGGGAGAGGGAUGCGGAAUUCCAGGUGUAGCGGUGAAAUGCGUAGAUAUCUGGAGGAACACCGGUGGCGAAGGCGGCAUCCUGGACCAACACUGACGCUGAUGAGCGAAAGCCAGGGGAGCAAACGGG